GUCUUUUUGUUAAUAAUUUAAAGUCUAAUCUGCCCACUGAUAUAUUUAUUAAAGGGCUGCAGUAUUUUGACUGUACAAAGGUAGCAUAAUCAUUAGUCUUUUAAUUGGUGACUUGUAUGAAAGAUUGGAUGAAAUAUAAACUGUCUCUUUUAUAAAAAAAAAUUGAAUUUAAUUUUUUAAUUAAAAAGUUAAAAUUAUUUAAAAAGACGAGAAGACCCUAUAGAGUUUUAUAAUUUAUUUUGUAAAUAUUUUUAUUUUUAUAUUUUUAUAAUUUUAAAUUAUUUUGUUGGGGUGAUAAAAAAAUUUAAUUAACUUUUUUUAAUAGUUUACAUUAAUAAGUGAUUAAAUGAUCCAAUUUUAUUGAUUAAAAGAAAAAAUUACCUUAGGGAUAACAGCGUAAUUUUUUUUUUUUAGUUCAAAUAAAAAGAAAAGUUUGCGACCUCGAUGUUGGAUUAAGAUAAAAUUUAAAUGUAGAAGUUUAAAAUUUUGAUCUGUUCGAUCAUUAAAAUCUU
rnacentral:rRNA from 1 species